rnacentral:rRNA from 1 species
CCUACGGGGUGCUGCAGUGAGGAAUAUUGGUCAAUGGGCGCGAGCCUGAACCAGCCAAGUAGCGUGAAGGAUGACUGCCCUCCGGGUUGUAAACUUCUUUUUUACAGGAAUAAAGUGAGGCACGUGCGCCUUUUUGUAUGUACUUUAUGAAUAAGGCUCGGCUAACUACGUGCCAGCAGCCGCGGUAAUACGGAGGAUCCGCGCGUUAUCCGGAUUUAUUGGGUUUAAAGGGAGCGUAGGUGGGUUGUUAAGUCAGUUGUGAAAGUUUGCGGCUCAACCGUAAAAUUGCAAUUGAUACUGGCAGUCUUGAGUACAGGUGAGGUAGGCGGAAUUCGUGGUGUAGCGGUGAAAUGCGUAGAUAUCACGAAGAACUCCGAUUGCGAAGGCAGCUUACUAGACUGCCACUGACAUUGAGGCUCGAAAGUGUGGGUAUCAAACAGGAUUAGAUACCCGAGUAGUC